CCCUUAGAUGUUCUGGGCCGCACGCGCGCUACACUGACGAAGUCAGCGAGCAUGUCCUACGCCGACAGGUGCAGGGAAUCUUGUCAAACUUCGUCGUGAUGGGGAUUGAUUAUUGAAAUUCUUGAUCAUCAACGAGGAAUUCCUAGUAAGCGCAAGUCAGCAGCUUGCGUUGAUUACGUCCCUGCCCUUUGUACACACCGCCCGUCGCUACUACCGAUUGAAUGGUUUAGUGAGAUCUUCGGAUUGGCGCCACUGCGGCUCAGCAAUGGGCUCGGUGGAUGCCGAAAAGUUGAUCAAACUUGAUCAUUUAGAGGAAGUAAAAGUCGUAACA
rnacentral:rRNA from 1 species